UAAGAUGAGCCCCUCUCUACCACAAGAUCAUUCUCAAAUCAGAGCACAAUUGAUACUGUUGUGACUUAGUAACAAUAUAAUUUCUGGAUAAUAUGAUCAAGAUAUCUUAGUCAACAUAAAUUAAUACCCUUGAAGUGAUUUUGGUGAGUUUCAGACUAAAGAGAACUAUUCAUUCCUAACUAGCCUUUUAAUUGUUUCACUAGAUGACCCUUAGAAAGUACUGGUGCAUGGUAACCACACAAAUUGGGCAGUUAUUUUGACCUAAGAUCUCUUCCCGCCGCUUCCCCCCGCAACUUCUUCCCACUCUUUGACCUGUCAAGGCAUUGGGAGGCUGUGCUGACCCAUGAGGCCGGCCAGGUGGCCUAAACUGUUCCUCCCCCAGGGCAAUUCCUAGCCUGCCUCUCUGAACUCCUUUGCCCACCUCUGUGUGCUGAGGUGGCUUUCCUCUAGGUUUCCUUUCUUGUACUCCUUAACUUGAAUAAGAGGAUGUCAACCCUAUUUGACUUCCUUAAGCAUAAGGUCCUGCACCUACCUGGUGACAUAGAAUACCUGCAUUCAGGAGUCUUACUGGGGUGCCUGGGUGGCUCAGUCAGUUAAGCAGCGGACUCCUGAUUUCAGCCCAGGUCAUGAUCUCAGGGUCCUGGGAUCCAGCCCUGCAUCGUUGGACUCACAGUCUGCUUCAGGGUUCCCUCCCUCUCCCUGCUCUUCUCCUCUCUCUCUUGCUCUCUCUCGUCCUCUCUCUCAAAUAAAUAAAUAAAUAAAUCUUUAAAGAAACAAAGCAAAAGAGUCUUAUCUAGGAGUAUAAUUCAAACUCAAGGCUACUCAAACUAUCACUAUCAAAAGUUCAGAGUAAGAUAAAAAAAAAAACAUAUAGAAGCUGGCUGAAUAAUAUACAGGCCAUUCAUUACUAUGAAUUCUUUUAAAUCUUGUCUAGAUUAGCCAGAUCAGUGGAAAGCUGAGUGCCCUGAACCACUCUGUUAGGGCUUUUAUUUUACCAUAUGGCAUUAAGCUACUUGACUAUAUUUAGGGAGUAGGAAGAGGUGGCCCCUGAGAAACAACUUAAGAUGUCAUGGAGGAAUUACUGAUGAAAACCCCCAGAAGAAAUGGCUCUGCUAUGAGAACCAGCAGUAGCUUUUCAAAGACUCUGAGUUUUAGGAACUGAUCCUGGCUCUGUGUCACCUACUAAGAAGCAUACAAAUCAAACUUACGUCCCAGUUCUACAGACGUACAGGCUUUUCACAGCACACUCUAUAGUCUCCUGUUCCCUAUGCCCCAAUUUCCUCAUUUGUAAACUGACUUAAAUCUUUUUGGGAACAAGGAGAGGUAUAUAUGUAUGUAUAUGAUAGGUACAUGCAUACAUAAGUCACUUAGAGCGUUCUAGGACAGCUUCUGCGAAACUUUACUUGCCUGGUGAUUUCUCCUCUCCAGUCCACUCUCUAGCACAUAUUAUCCACCAUUCAUUGACUCAUUUGUGUUUUAUAUAAUUCUCUAAGUAUUUCAUAGUGGGAACACAUGCGUAAGCUUUUGGAAAUUAGGAAAUAAUUCUUUUUUCAGAUGUGCAAUGUAUGUAUUUGAUAAUUCUGUAUAUUACUCAGUGUGUACUAUGGUAAGUGUAGUCAUUGUCACCAUACGUUUUUAUAAUAUUAUUGACUAUAUUCCCUAUUUCUGUGACUUACUUAUUUUAUAACUGGAAAAAUAUACCUCUUUUUUAAAAAUUGAAAUUAAUUGACAUAGAAUGUUAUUUUCAGUUGAUUAACACAUUGAUUCAACAAUUCUGUAUGUUACUUUUCUUUUUUAAGAUUUUAUUUAUUUGAGAGAGACAGAGAUGGCAACAGAGAUAGGGAAGAGAGCAUGAGCUGGGAGGAGUGGGAGAAACAGGCUCCCCACUGAGCAGGGAGCCCCAUGUGGGGCUUAAUCCCAGGACCCUGAGAUCAUGACCUGAGCUGAAGGCAGACACACUUAACUGACUGAGCCACGCAGGUGUCCCAUCUUUUUUUGCUUAAUUGAAGUAUAGUUCACACACACUAUUCUGUUAGUUUCAGGGAUACAACAUAGUAAUUCAACAACUCUGUACAAAAUGCUAUGCUCACCACUAGUGUAGUUACCAUCUGUCACCAUGUAACACUAUUUACAAUACAUUGACUAUAGUCCUUAUGCUGUAACUUUCAACCCUGUGACUUACUCAUUCCAUGACUAGAAGCCUGUACUUUCCAUUUCCCUUCACCCCUUUUGCCCAUGUACCCACCUACCUGCCUUCUGGCAGUCACCAGUUUUCUGUUCUUAUGGGUCAAUUUCUACUAUAGUUGUUUAUUUGUUCAGUUGUUUUGUUUUUUGGAUUUCACCUAUAUGUGAAGUCAUAUGGUAUUUGUCUUUCUCUGUUUGACUUAUUUCACUUAGUAUAAUAACCUCUGAGUCCAUCCAUGUCGUCACAAAUGGCAGGAUCUUGUUUUUUAAGGCUGAGUAAUAUUCUAUUCUAUUAUACACACCACAUCUUCUUUAUCCAUUCAUCUAUUGUUGGACACUUGGGUUGCUUCUGUAUCUUGACUAUUGUAAAUAAUGCUGUGAUAAGCAUAGGAGUGCAUGUAUUCUUUCGAAUUAGUGUUUUUGUUUUCUUUGUUCAAAUACUCACUAGUGGAAUUACUGGAUUGUAUAGUAUUUCUAUUUUUCAUUUUUUGAGGAAACUUCAUACUGUUCCUUCAGUGGCUGCACCAGUAUACAUUCCCAUCAACAGUAUAGGAGGAGUCCAUUUUCUCUACAUCUUUGCCAACAUUUGGUUUUACCCAUUCUGAAAGUUGUAAGGUGAUACCUCAUUGUGGUUUUGAUUUUCAUUUCCCUAAUCGUUAGUGAGGUUGAGCAUCUUUUCAUAUGUCUAUUGGCCAUCUAUGUCUUCUUUGAAAAAAUAUCUAUUUAAGUCCUCUCCCUGUUUUUUAAUUGGAUCAUUUGGUUUUUUGGUAUUGAGUUGUGUAAGUUCUUUAUAUAUUUUGGAUAUUAACCCUCUUUCAGAUACAUUGUUUGUCGAAGUCUUCUCCCUUUCAGUAGAUUGCCUCUUUGUUUUAAUGAUGAUUUCCUUUGAUGUGAAGCGUUUUAUUUUGAUGUAGUCCCAAUAGUUUGUGCUUUUGUUUCCCUCACCUGAGGAGAUACAUCUAGAAAAAUAUUGCUAAGGCUGAUAUCCAAGAUACUGCCUAUGUUUUCUAGGAGUUACAUGGUUGCAGGUCUCACAUUUAGAUCUUUAAUCCAUAUUAAGUUUAUUUUUGUGUAUGGUAUAAAUAAGUGGUCUGGUUUCAUUCUUUUGCCCGUGGCCGUCCAGUUUUCCCAACACCAUUUAUUGAAAAGACUGUCUUUUCCUCAUUGUACAUUCUUGCCUCUUUUGUCAUAGAUUAAUUGACCAUAAAAACAUGGAUUUAUUUCAGGGCUUCCUAUUCCAUUGACCUGUUGUGUCUCUUUUUGUGCCAGUACCCUCCUGUUUUGAUUAUUAUAGCUUUGUGGUAUAUCUUGAAAUCUGGGAUUGGGAUACCUCCAGCUUUGUUGUUUCUCAGGAUUGCUUUGCCUAUUCAGGACUUUCUGUGGUUCCAAACAAAAUUUCGUAUUAUUUGUUCUAGUUCUAUGAAAAAUGCUUUUGGUAUUUUGAUAGGGAUUGCACUGAAUCUGUAGAUUACUUUGGGUAAUAUGGACAUUUUAAUAAUAAUAAUUAUUCUAAUCCAUGACCAUGCAAUAUCUUUCCAUUUUUUGUGUUGUCUUCAAUUUCUUUUCAUCAGUGUCUUAACAGUUUCAGAGUAUAGAUUUUUCACCUUCUUGGUUAAAUUGGCAAACACACUAAAGAUAGUAGUAGGUUAUUCACUUACAAAGCUGAUAUGGAGGUUAAAACCUAAAAACCAAAGUAGUAAUCAGUUUUAUCUAUGAAAAUUAGUCUAAGGAUACACAAAAUAAGAAGAUGUAAAAUAUGACAUCAUAUACAUAAAACAUGGAGGGCGGGAAUUUAGUGCUUUCAGUUUAAACUUAAGCUACAGUCAAUGUAAUAUAGACUGUUAUACACAUAAGAUGUUAUAUAUAACCCAGUAGUUACCACAAAUGAAGAAGUUAAAGUAGAUACACAAAAAAUAAAGAAACAGAAAUCCAAGCAUGACACUAAAGAAAAUAUCAAACCCCAAGGGAAAGGAGCAAGAGAAGAAAAAAACAGAGGAACACAGUAAGGACACAGUUAACAAACUGGAAUUAAGUGCAUAUCUAUCAGUAAUUACUGAAAUGUGAAGGACUAACUAAUCAAGACAUAGAGUGACUGAAUGGAUAAAAAAAAAAAUAAGACCCAUCUACAUGCUGCCUACAAGAGACUCACUUCAAGACCUAAAGAUACAUACAGACUGAAAGUGAUGGGAUGGAAAAACAUACACCAUGCAAACAGAAGUGAAAAACAAAAAAGCCAGGCUAGCAACACCUCGGGUGUGUUUUCUGCACUGGGGAUGGCAGAGGGAGAGGUAAACCAAGGUUCAUUCUCAAGAUAGAAAGCCGAUCUGACUCAGCUGUGAUUUUACCUAGCACUCCCGGCCUGUGCUAAUCCACCAUCUUCCCAUACAAGCAGUUCGGGAAAACAAGCUAUGAGUACAAGACUUAGAGAAUGAUUAAGGAAAACUAGAUCUUCAUUUAAUUCCUGUUACAGUGUGGUAAAAUGCCUUAAAGUAGAGAAUAAAGAAAAUGAUCAGACUUUUUCAGAGACACCAGUAUCUUCAGUAUCUUCAGUUCUGUUAGGUAUUUCAAGAAAAAUUUAAACACGGUGAAUUUGAAGAAAGUACAUAUUUGAAAAAUACCUUCAAGAAUAAUAUCAGUGCAUAUGAAUCUAAAUCACCUGGUACUGAGGUAUGCAGUGAUCUCCAAAGUGGCUUUGUAAAUGAAGAUCUUCCCGGAUGAGGAUUAAGAAAAAGCAAAAUUGGUGGAGAGAUUGAGGAGAAAGAAUACCUUCUUCAGAGCCUAAAACUGAUCAAAAUGUACAGAUCAAAGAUUGACCUGUCUUAGGCCGCUAUUACUUUAUGAGCUGCGUCAGCUAUGUCUGAGAAGAAACCCAGCCUUACUCAGUUGAUAGACCACUGUGGGUUAGAUGAUAAAUUGCUGUACUAUAACAGAAAUGAAGACUUUAUGGGUGUUUAAAUCAUAAUUUAAUUUCUGAGAAUGACAACCUAAAAGAUAAAAGAUAAUACAUUUUAAAAGGAAGGUAGAAACCAUUAGGGCUUAGAGAAAGGUAUCUUCAUAUAUAUAUAUAUAAGAGAUUUAUUUGAGAGAGAGAGAGCAUGAGCAAGAGAGCACAAGCAGGGGAAGCAACAGAGGGAGAGGGAGAAGCAGACUCCCGCUGAGCAGGGAGCCUGAUGAGGGGCUCGAUCCCAGGACCCUGGGAUCAUGACCUGAGCCAAAGGCAGCUACUUAACCGACUGUGCCACCCAGGCACCCCUUAGAGAAGAGUAUUUUGAUGAACAUCAGUUUAGGGCACUCUGUUAUAUAACUAUAAAAUAAGCUCUAAAAUUAAAAUUUAGUAUUUUGGAUAAAUUUGCCAAAGAAAACUUGACAUUUAAAGAAAUGUGAAAAGAAACUUAGAUCAUGUUUAAAAAAAUAAUUUGGGAAGUUUCUGGAAGUCAGGUUUUGUUUUGUUUUGUUUUUUUAAGCUUUUAUUUAUUUAAGUAAUCUUUACACCCAGUGUGGGGCUCAAACUCACGACCCCGAGAUCAAGGGUCGCAUGCUCCACUGACUGAGCCAGCCAGGUACCCCUGGAAGUUAGUUUUAAUACAUUGUUUUGUUUAUUGUGAUAAAAAGGUUUUAUUUUAAAUAUUAAAAAAUAGUGUGGUAAAUGUCUAAACCUAAAGUCUAAAAAUGCCUGCCUGCCUGCAGUGUCCACAAUAGCCAAACUAUGGAAGGAGUCAAGAUGUCCAUCAACAGAUGAGUGGAUAAAGAUGUGGUGUGUGUAUAUAUAUACAAUGGAAUAUUAUGUAGCCAUCAAAAAAAAAAAAUCUUGCCACUUGCAACGACGUGGAUGGAACUAGAGGGUAUUAUGCUAAGCAAAAUAAGUCAGUCAGAGAAAGACAAGUAUCAUAUGAUCUCACUGAUAUGAGGAAUUCUUAAUCUCAGGAAACAAACUGAGGGUUGCUGGAGUGGUGGGGCGUGGGAGGAUUGGGGUGGCCGGGUGAUGGGACAUUGGGGAGGGCAUGUGCUAUGGUGAGCGCUGUGAAUUGUCUAAGACUGAUGAAUCACAGACGUGUACCUCUGAAAUAAUACAUUACAUGUUUAAAAAAAAAAAAACGGCGCCUGGGUGGCUCAGAUGGUUAAGCGUCUGCCUUCGGCUCAGGUCAUGAUCCCAGCGUCCUGGGAUCGAGUCCCGCAUCGGGCUCCCUGCUCCGCGGGAGCCUGCUUCUCCCUCUGCCUCUCUGUCUCUCAUGAAUAAAUAAAUAAAAUCUUAAAAAAUAAAUAAAUAAAUAAAUAAAUAAAUACAGUAAGAAGGGAAAAAUGCAAGGGGGGAAAUUGGAGGGAAAGACGAACCAUGAGAGACUAUGGACUCCGAGAAACAAACUGGGGGUUUUAGAGGGGAGGGGGUGGGGGUAUGGGUUAGCCUGGUGAUGGGUAUUAAGGAGGGCACGUAUCACAUGGAGCACUGGUUGUUAUACGCAAACAAUGAAUCAUGGAACACUACAUCAAAAACUAAUGAUAUAAUGUAUGUGACUAACAUAAUAAAAUUAAAUUAAAAAAAAAAAGACAAAAAAUAAAAAAAUAAAAAUGCCUGCCUGUUUCCUAAGUUUAUGAAUCUUGUUUCCAUCCAUUUCUCGCAUAUUUCCAUCUGGAUGGUGUAGCAGGUAAAUUAAACUUGUUCAUAUGUCCAAAACUUAAGAAAAAAAAAAAGACUUUAGAACAAAAACUGUAGCAAGAGACAGGGGCAUUACAUAAUGAUAAAGGAAUCGAUCCAGCAAGAGGAUAUCAUAAUUGUAAGUAGCUCUGUACCCAACAUAGGAGCACCGAAAUACAUAAAGCAAAUAUUAAUAGAUAUAAAGGGAGAGAUUGGUAGUAAAACAAAGUGGUAGGGAGCCUUAACACCUCAUUUACCUCAGUGGGUAGACCAUCAGAAAGAAAGUCAAUAAGCAAACCAUGGCUUUGAAUGAUACAUUAGACCUUACAGACCUAACAGAUAUAUAGAGAACAUUCUAUCCAGAAAGGCAGAAUACACAUUCUUUUCAAGUACACAGGGAACAUUCUCUAGGAUAGAUCACAUGUAAGGUCAUAAAACAAGUCUCAAUAAAUAUAAGAGGAUUGAAAUCAUAUCAAACAUCUUUUCUGACCAUAACAGUAUGAAACUAGAAAUCAGUUACAAGAAAAAAACACACUUGGAGGAUAAACAACAUGACACUAAGCCACAAAUGAAUCACGAAAAAAUCAGAGAAAAUAAAAAAAUACAUGGAGACAAAUGAAAACAGUGAAGUCCAAAAUCUUUAGGACACAGCAAAGGCAUUUCUAAGAGGGAAGUUUAAAGUCAUACAGUCCUACCCCAAGAAACAAAAAUCUCAAAACAACCUAACCUAACACUUAAAGGAGCUAGAAAAAGAACAAAUCUCAAAGCUAGUAGAUGGAAGGAAAUAAUGAAGAUCAGAACAGAAAUAAAUGAAACAGACGUGGGGAAAAAAAAAACAAUAGAAAAGAUCAAUGAUAGAGCUGAGUUCUUUGUAAAGAUAAAUAAAAUUGACAUUUAGCCAGAUUUACCAAGAAAACGGAAGGAAUGAAAUCAGAAAUGCGAGGAAAUAACAAAUGACAUUACAGAAAUACAAUUGAUAAGAGAAUAUUUGAAAAAUUAUAUGCCAACGAAUUGGACAACCUAGAAGAAAUGGAUGAAUUCCUAGAAACCUGCAAUUUCCCACAACCAAAUCAGGAAGAGAUAGAAAAUUUGAACAGACUUAUUACUAGAAAUGAAAUCGAUUUGAUAAUCAAAAAACUCCCAACAAACAAAGUUCCAGGACCAGAUGUCUUCACAGGUGAAUUCUACCAAACAUUUAAAGAAGAGUUAAUAUCUAUUCUUCUUAAACUAUUCCAUUAAAUAAAAGAAGAAGGAAAACUUCCAGAUUCAUUCUGCAUGGCCCCUGUUACACGAUACAAAAACCAGACAGAGACACUACAAAAAAAGAAAACCACAGACCAAAAUCUCUGAUGAACAUAGGUAAAAAAAAAAAAUUAUUAAAAAAAAUUUAGCAAAGCAAUGUCAACAAUACAUUAAAGGGUCAUUCACCGCGGUCAAAGGGAUUUAUUUCAGGGAUGCAAGGGUGGUUCACUUUUGGCAAAUCCAUCAACAUGAUACUUUAACAAGAGAAAGGAUAAAAACCAUAUGAUCAUCUCAGUAAAUAUAUUUGACAAAAUAUAACAGCCAUUUGUGAUAAAACUCAACAAAGUGGAUUUAGAGGGAACAUACCUCAACAUAAUGAAAGCCAUGUAUGAAAAAUCUACAGCCAUCGUCAUACUCAGCAGUGAAAAAUUGAAAGCUUUUGCACUAAGUUUGGAAACAAGACAAGGAUGUCCACUUUCACUACUUUUAUUCAACAUAGUACUCUUAACUGCAGCAAUCACACAAGGAAAAAAAAGAAGAGGCAUCAAAAUUGGUAAAGAAGUAGUAAAGGGGCGCCUGGGUGGCUCAGUCAUUGGCUGUCUGCCUUUGGCUCAGGUCGUGAUUCCAGGGUCCUGGGUUCCAGCCCCGCAUCAGGCUCCCUGCUCACGUGGGAAGGCUGCUUCUCCCUCUCCCACUCCCCCUGCUUGUGUUCCUGCUCUCACUAUCUCUCUCUGUCAAAUAAAUAAAAUCUUAAAAAAAAAAAAAAAAAAAAAGUAAAAACUGUCACUGUUUGCAGAUGACCUGAUACUAUAUAGAGAAAACCCAGGAGGACCUGCGUGGCUCAGUUGGUUAAGCAUUCCACUCUUGGUUUUGGCUCAGGUCAUGAUCUCAGGAUCAUGAGAUUGAGCCCCGUGUCAGGCUCGGUGCUCAGCACAGGGUCUGCUUGAGAGAUUCCCUCUCUUGCUCUCCUUCCCCCUCUCCUCCUUCCCCCACUUGUAUGCAGUGCAUGUUCUCUUUCUCUAAAAUAAAUAAAUAAAAUCUUAAAACCCAAUGACUCCACCAUAGUCUAUUAACAACUGAUAAAUGAUUUUAGUAAAGGUGCAAGAUACAAAAUUAAUACGCAGAAACCUAUUGCAUUUCUAUACAUUAAUAAUGAAAUAGCAAAAAGAGAAAUUAAGAAAACAAUCAAUUUACAAUUACACCAAAAAGAAUAAAGUACCAAGGAAAUAUUCUUUAAUGCUUAAUAGUUUGUGUUAAUUUAGUGGCUUUCAUAUGCAUUUUAUUUAAUUUAUGCACUUUUAAUAUGUUAGAGUAAUUACUGUGCUUUCUCAGUCUAGCACAGGGUCCAUCAUACUUGUCAUAUUUAAGUGAAUAUAAUCACAUAGUAAUAUGCACAUAUAAAUAAAUCUCUACUGAGAAAUCCUUAAUGUAAGCUUCUGUAGUAAUCUCUUUUUCCUCCAUCUCAACCACUUUUGCCCUUACCAGCUUCAUUCUCUCUAUUGCAAAUGAUCUUUUAAAAAUGUAAAUCUCAUCUGAUCCCUCAUCUUUGCUUCUCCAGCAGUUAGAAUCUUUACCAUAGGUGUCAGGGCUCUAUUACCCUUCUCCAGCCUCCUCUCAAACCCAUUCCCUCUUACUUGAUCUGCAUCGGGAGGUUUCAAAUUUUCAUGACUCAUAAGUCAUAUGGGAAAUAACCUAACUUUAUACCUUAAGGAACUAGAAAAAGAAGAGUAAACUAAGCCCAAGUUAGCAAAAGAAAGGGAAUAACAGGGGCACCUGGCUGGCUCAACCGGUAGAACAUGCAGCUCUUGAUCUCAGGGUCAUGAAUUCAAGCCCCACAUUGGGUGUAGAGCUUACUAUUAAAAGAAGAAGAAGAAGAAGAAAAAAAUCAAAGAUUAAAGCAGAAAUAAAUGAAAUAGAGACCAGAAACACACUAAGGAUCAAUGAAACUAAGAGCUGAUGUUUUGAAAAGAUAAACAAAAUUGACAAAUCUUUAGCUAAACUAAGUAAAAAAGAGCAAGGACUCAAAAUCAAAUGAAAAAGGAAACAUUACAACUGAUAUUACAGAAAUACAAAGUAUCAUAAACUGAUAUGAACUGGGUGGGGCACCUGGGUGGCUCAGUCAGUUGAGCGUCUGCCUUCGGCUCAGGUCAUGAUCCCAGGGUCCUGCAAUUGAGCCCCAUAUUGGGCUCCCUGCUCAGCGGGGAGCCUGCUUCUCCCUCUCCCUCUGCUGCUCCCCCUGCUAGUGCUCUUGUUCUCUGUCAAAUAAAUAAAAUCUUAAAAAAAAAAAAAAUGAUAUGAACUAUUAUAUGCCAACAGAUUGGAUAACCUAGAAGAAAUGGAUAAAUUCGUAGAAAUAUACAGCCUAAUAAGACUAAUUGGAGGAGAAAUAGAAAAUCUGAACUGACCAAUAAUGAAUAACGCUAUUGAAUUAGCAAUCAGAAACCUUUCAGAAAAGAAAAGCCCAGGACCCUAUGGCUUCAUGAGUGAAUUCCAUCAAACAUUUAAAGGUGAAUUAAUACCAGGGUGCCUGGGUGGCUCAGUUGGUUAAGUGUCCGACUCUUGAUUUCUGGCUUGGGUCAUGAUCUCAGGGUGUGGAGCCUGCUAGGAUUCUCUCCCUCUUCCCUUGCCCCUCCCCCUUCUCCUAAAAUUUUUUUUUUUUUAAACAUUAAAAAAAAAAAAGGUGGAUUAAUACCGAUACUUCUCAAACUCUUCCAAAAACUUGAAGCCAAAGGACCACUUCCAGAUUUAUUUUAUCAAGCCAGCAUAACCCUGUCAUCAAAGCCAGGUAAGAACAGUAUAAGAAAAGAAACGGGUGCCUAGGUGGCUCAUUCGAUUAACCUUCUGACUCUUGAUUUCAUCUCGGUUGUGAGAUCGAGCCUCGUGUUAGGCUCUGCCCUGCGUGAGGAGCCUGCUUAAGAUUCUCUCUCUUCCCUCCUUCCCUCCUUCCCUCCCCCCCUCCCCCUUUCUCCCUCUCUCCCCCCCCACCCUCCCUCCCUCUCAAAAAAAAAAAAGAAACUAUAGGCCAAUAUCCCUGAAGAAUGUAGAUGCAAAAAUUCUCAACAAAAUACUAGCAAAAUCAUAUAAUAGCAUAUGUCAUCCACCAUGAUCAAAUGGGAUGUAUCCCUGGGAUGCAAAGAUGGUUCAACAUAUGCAGAUCAACAAAUAUGAUAUACCACAUUAAUAGAAUGAAAUAUAAAAAUCAUAUGGUCAUCUCAACAGAUGCAAAAAAGCAUUUGACAAAAUUCAACAUUAUUUCAUGAUAAAAGCUCUCAAGAAAUUGGGUGUAGGAGAAACGUGUAACAAAAUAAUAAGCCCAUAGCUAACAUUGUACUCAGUGGUGAAAGGUUGAAAGCUUUUCCCCUAAGAUCAGGAACAGGAAAAGGAUGUCCCGUCUUGGCUCUUCUAUUCAACACAGUACUCAGGCAAGAAAAAUUUUUAAAAAGGCAUUCAAAUCAGAAAUGAAGAAAUGGGGCACCUGUCUGGCUCAGUUGGUGGAGCAUGUGCUCUUGUUCUCAGGUCAUGAGUUCAAGUCCUACAUUGGGUGUGGGGGAAAAAAAAAAGAGGUAAAAUUGUCUUUGUUUGCAGAUGUGAUCUUACACAUGGAAAAUCCUAAAGACUCCACCAAAUACUGUUAGAACUGACCAACGAAUUCAGUAAAGUUGAAGGAUACAAAAAUCAGUUGUGUUUGUAUAGACUAACAACAAAAUAUCUGAAAAAGAAAUAACACAAUCCCAUGUUACAGUAGCAUCAAAUUCAGUAGAAUACUUAGGAAUAAACUUCAGGAGGGGAAAGAUCCGUAUGCUGGAAACUAUAAGGCAUUGAUGAAAGAAAUUGAAGAAGACAUAAACGAAAAGAUGUCCUGUGUUCAUGGGUCAGAAGAAUUAAUAUUGUUAAAAUGUCCAUACUUGGGGCACCUGGGUGGCUUAGUUGGUUUAGUGUCUGACUCUUGAUUUCAACUCAGGUCAUGAUCUCAGGGUCAUGAGAUCGAGCCCCGUGUUGGGCUCCGCGCUCUGCAGGGAGUCUGCUUGGGAUUCUCUCUUUCCCUCUCCCUCUGCCCCUCCUCUCUCUCUCUCUCUCUCUCUAAAAUAAGUCUUGAAAAGAAAAGGAACUGUCCAUACUACACAAAGCCAUUUAUAGACUUUUUGAUAAAUUCCAAUGGCAUUUUUCACAGAAAUAAAAAAAAAAAAUCCUAAAAUUCAUAUGGAAUCACAAAAGAGCCUUGAAUAGCCAAAGCAAUCCUGAGGAAGAACAAAACUGGAGGCAACAUACUUCCUAAUUUAAAACUUUAAUAUAGGGGCUCCUGUCUGGCUCAGUCAGUGGAGCAUGCGACUCUUGAUCUUAGGGUUAUGAGUUCGAGCCCUGUGUUGGGUGUUGAGAUUACUUAAAAAUAAAAUCUUUAAAGAAAAAAACACUUUAUUACAAAGUUGUAAUAUUCAAGAUAGUAUACUGCAUAAAAACAGACACCUAGAACAAUGGAAGAGAAGCAAGAGCCCAGGAAGAAACCCAUUCCUAUAUGGUCAACAAAUAUUCAACAAGGGAACCCAAACUACUUAAUGGGGAGAGAGUAGUUGCUUUAAUAAAUGGUGUUGGGGAAACUGGAUGUUCAUGUGCAAACGAAUGAAAUCAGAGCCCUAUCUUACACCUCACAAUAAUUAACUCGAUGUGUGAAAACUUAAAAGUAAAACCUGAAACUGUAAAUCUUCUAGAAGAAAACAUAAGGGAAAAGCUCCUUGACAUUGGUCUUGGCAGUGACUGUUUAGAUAUGACACCAAAAGCACAAGCAACAAAAAGCAAAACAUAAGAGUAAAUGCUUCUGCACAACAAAAGACCUGAUAAAGGGUUAAUAUCCAAAAUAUAUAAGGAACUCCUAUAGUUCAAUAGCCAAAAAACAACACUUAAGUUGAAAAAUGAACAGAGAACCUAAAUAGACAUUUUUCCGAAGAAGUCCUACAAAUGUCCCCUACAGGUACAUGAAAAGAUGCUCAAUAUUACUUAUGAUCAGAGAAAUGCAAACCAAAACCACAAUGAGAUAUCACGUCAUAUUUGUUAGAAUGACUAUUAUCAAAAAGACAAAGGAUAAGUUUUGGCGAGGAUGUGGGGAAAAGGGAACCCUUGUUCACUGUUGGUGGGAAUGUAAAUUGGUGCAUUAAUUAUUGAAAACUGGAGGUUCCUCAAAUAGUUAAAAAUAGAACUAUCCAUAUGGUCCAGCAGUCUACUUCUGAGUAUCUGAAGAAAAUGAAAAUAGUAAUUCGAGAAGACAUCUGCACUUCCAUGUUCACCACAGCAUUAUUCACAAUAGCCAAGAUAUGGAAGCAACCUAAGUGUUAGCAAAUGAAUGUGAUAUUUAUUCAAAGAAAAUGUGGUACACAAAGGCACAAACAAUAUGCAGUGGUGUUUUGCCUUUUGCAAUAACUUGAAUGUACCUUGGGAGUAUUAUGUUAAAUAAGUCAGAGAAAGACAAAUACUGUUUGAUUUCACUUACAUACGGAAUGUGGAGUAAGUUGAACUCAUAGGAACAGAUUAGAAUGGUGGUUACUGGUGGCUGGGAGGUAGGGGAAAUGGGGAGAUCUCAGGCAGAGAUUCAUCUCUAUAAGAUGAAUAAGUUCUGAGAAUCUAACAUAUAAAAUGGUAAUUAUAGUUAAUACUGUAUUGUAUGUUUGAAAGUUGUUAAGAGAGUAAAUGUUAAAUGUUCUCAUCACCAAAAAAAGUAAUUAUUUGGGGGUGUUGAAGGUGUUCAGUAGGCCUUAUUGUGAUAAUUAUUUUGUAGUGUAUACAUGUAUCAGAUCAUCACAAUGUGUUCAUGAUGUUACAUGUCAGUUAUAUCUCAAUAAAGCUGGAGAAAAAACAUAUGGGGAGACAACAGAAAUAUGUUCACAUAUUUUCCAAAUUACUUAAACAAGAAUGUAUAUAGUGGUGAAAAACUGGGGGCUUUUCCUGUAAGAACCAAAACAAGACAAGGAUGUCUACUCUUGCCACUUUUAUUCUACAUAGUACUGGCAGUCCUAGCCACAGUGAUCAUACAAUGAAUCAAUGACAUCCAAAUUGGUAAGGAAGAAGUUAAACUGUCACUAUUGGCAGAUGACAUGAUACUAUAGAAAACCCUAAAGAUUCCACCAAAAAACUAUUAGAAAUAAUAAAUGAAUUCAGUAAAGUUGCAGUAUAUAAAAUUAAUAUACAGAAAUUAUUUACACUUCUAUACACUAAUGGCAAAGUAGCAGAAAGAGAAAUUAAGAAAACAGUCUCAUUUACAGUUGCACCAAAAACAAUAAAAUACCUAGGAAUAAACUUAACCAGGGAGGUGAAAGACGUGUACUCUGAAAACUAUAAACACUAAUGAAAGAAAUUGAAGACAAUACAAAUAAAUGGAGAGAUAGUCCAUGCUCAUGGGUUGGAAGGAUUAAUAUUGUUAAAAUAUCCAUACUACCCAAAGCAUUCUACAGAUUCAGUGCAGUCCCUAUCAAAAUACCAACUGCACUUUUCACAGAACUAGAACAAAUAAUAUUAAAAUUUUUAUGGAACCACAUAAGAGCCCAGAUAGCCAAAGUAAUCUUGAGAAAGAACAAAGCUGGAGGUAUCCCAGUGCCAGAUUUCAAGAUAUACAACAAAGCAAUAAUAAUCAAAACAGUGUGGUACUGACACUGAAAUAGACAUAUAGAUCAUUGGAACAGAACAGAGAGCACAGAAAUAAGUUAAUCUACAACAAAAGAGGCAGGAAUAUACAAUGGGGAAAAGACAGUCUCUUCAAUAAAUGCUGUUGGGAAGCUGGACAGCUACAUGCAAAAGAAUACAACUAGACCACUUAUACUAUAUGUAAAAAUAAACUCAAAAUGGAUUAAAGACAUAAAUGUGAGACCUGAGAGCAUAAAACUCUUAGAAGAAAAUAUAGGCAAUAAUUUCUUUGACAUUGACUGUAUCAACAUUUUUCUAGCUAUGUCUCCUCAGGCAAGGGACACAAAAGCACAAAUAAACUGUUGGGACUAACACCACAAUAAAAGCUUUUGCACAUCAAAGGAAACCAUCAACAAAGUAAGAAGACCUCCUACUGAAUAGGAGAAGGUAUUGCAAAUGAUAAGAGGUUAGUAGCCAAGAUACAUAAAGAACUUCUACAACUCAACACCCAAAAAAGCAAAUAAUCCAAUUUAAAAGUUGGCAGAGGACCUGAAUAGACGUUUUUCCAAAGAAGACUUCCAGAUGGACAACAAACACAUGAAAAGAUGCUCCACAUCACUCAUCAUCAGGGAAAUGCCAGUCAAAACUACAAGAUGUUACCUCACACCUGUCAGAAUGGUUAGAAGUAAAAAGACAAGAAAUAACAAGUAUGGGCAAGGAUGUGGAUUAAAGGGAAACUUUGUGUGUGUUAGUGGGAGUAUAAAUUGGUAUAGGCACUGUGGAAAACAGUAUGGAGGCUGCUCAAGUAAUUAAACAUAGAACUAUCAUAUGAUUCAGUAAUUCCACUACUUGGUAGCUGCCCUAUUCAUAAGAGCUCAAAACUGGAAGCUACCCAGAUGUCCAUCAGCUGUAGAAUGGAUAAAUGAGGGCGCCUGGGUGGCUCAGUUGGUUAAGCAACUGCCUUUGGCUCAGGUCAUGAUCCUGGAGUCCCUGGAUCGAGUCCCGCAUCGGGCUCCCUGCUCGGCAGGGAGUCUGCUUUGUCCUCUGACCCUAUCCCCUCUCAUGUGUUCUCUCUCUCUCAAAUAAAUAAAUAAAAUCUUAAAAAAAAAAAAAAAAAGAAUGGAUAAAUGAAUUACGGUAUAUUCACACGAUGAAAAUCACCACCAAUGAGAACGAACGGAUUACAACACAUGCAACAGUAUGGAUGAAUCUCACAAGCAUAUUAUUGAAUGAAAGAAGCCAAAGAGAAAUGAAUAAAAAAGAAUGCCUACUGUAUGGUUAGAUUUAUAUGAAAUCUAAACACGGAGAACUCAUCUGUGGUGUUAGUAAUCAGGAGAGCUGCUGGCUAACAGUGUCUGUGGUCAGUGUCUAAAAGGAGGCACACGUGGGGCCUGGGGUGCUGCUGAUGUUUGUUUGCAUUCCAGUUGCUUAUUACAGAGAUGUCCUAUUAAAAGUGAAUGAGCUUUACACUUAAUGAUUUGUGGAUUCUUGUAUAUCUGUGUUAAAUUUCUAUAAAAUUUUUAAAGAUUGUAUUGGGAGCAUGCCAAACAUUUCUAUCAUUUUUUCCGGUCUAUUUGUUUCUACCCAGAGGUUAAGGUUCACUACUGUGUCUAAGGUUCUUUGGGGAAACUGGCUAUAUUAGUGAAUCUAGCCCUUUGUUCCCUGACUCUAAGCAUUGACUCAAGCAUAUAGAAUAACUGUGUGCAUGUGAUCUGUGUAGUAAUGUUGUGACUUC